UUUUUUUAUAUAAAAUACUCUAAAAUUUCUAUUAAUAUUAAAUUUAUUAAAUAAAUUUUAACUAAUUAACCCGUGGUCCAACCCGGUUGACCCGAUGACCCGGUGACCCAAAAGGUAGUCCGGUUCAUCGUCCGGGUCGGGUUUCAUUGUGUAAAUGAUAUUUUUUGUGGUCAAAGUUGAGAGGUACUAUAACCUUUCCAUUUAUUUUUUUAUAGAUUUAUAAUCAAAAGAAUAUAACUUAUACUUUCAAUUUAUUUCCUU
rnacentral:sRNA from 1 species